rnacentral:rRNA from 1 species
UUGGUUAAGUUAGAAAGGGCGCACGGUGGAUGCCUUGGCACUAGGAGCCGAAGAAGGACGGGACUAACACCGAUAUGCUUUGGGGAGCUGUACGUAAGCGUUGAUCCAGAGAUUUCCGAAUGGGGGAACCCACUAUCUUUAGUCGGAUAGUAUCCUUACGUGAAUACAUAGCGUGAGGAAGGCAGACCCAGGGAACUGAAACAUCUAAGUACCUGGAGGAAGAGAAAGAAAAAUCGAUUUCCUGAGUAGCGGCGAGCGAAACGGAAAGAGCCCAAACCAAGAAGCUUGCUUCUUGGGGUUGUAGGACACUCUAUACGGAGUUACAAAAGAAAGUUAUAAAUGAAGCGGUCUGGAAAGGCCCGCCAAAGACGGUAACAGCCCGGUAGUUGAAAUGGCUUUCCCUCCAGAGUGGAUCCUGAGUACGGCGGAACACGUGAAAUUCCGUCGGAAUCCGGGAGGACCAUCUCCCAAGGCUAAAUACUCCCUAGUGACCGAUAGUGAACCAGUACCGUGAGGGAAAGGUGAAAAGCACCCCGGAAGGGGAGUGAAACAGUUCCUGAAACCGUGUGCCUACAAGUAGUUAGAGCCCGUUAAUGGGUGAUAGCGUGCCUUUUGUAGAAUGAACCGGCGAGUUACGAUUUGUUGCAAGGUUAAGCGGAAAAAGCGGAGCCGUAGCGAAAGCGAGUCUGAAUAGGGCGCAUAAGUAACAGGUCGUAGACCCGAAACCAGGUGAUCUACCCAUGUCCAGGAUGAAGGUAAGGUAAUACUUACUGGAGGUCCGAACCCACGCACGUUGAAAAGUGCGGGGAUGAGGUGUGGGUAGCGGAGAAAUUCCAAUCGAACUUGGAGAUAGCUGGUUCUCUCCGAAAUAGCUUUAGGGCUAGCCUCGAGGUAAAGAGUCAUGGAGGUAGAGCACUGUUUGGACUAGGGGCCCUUCUCGGGUUACCGAAUUCAGAUAAACUCCGAAUGCCAUGUACUUAUACUCGGGAGUCAGACUGCGAGUGAUAAGAUCCGUAGUCGAAAGGGAAACAGCCCAGACCACCAGUUAAGGUCCCCAAAUAUAUGUUAAGUGGAAAAGGAUGUGGGGUUGCUUAGACAACCAGGAUGUUGGCUUAGAAGCAGCCACCAUUGAAAGAGUGCGUAAUAGCUCACUGGUCGAGUGACCCCGCGCCGAAAAUGUACCGGGGCUAAACAUAUUACCGAAACUGUGGAUGAACCUCUUUAGAGGUUCGUGGUAGGAGAGCGUUCUAAGGGCGGUGAAGUCAGACCGGAAGGACUGGUGGAGCGCUUAGAAGUGAGAAUGCCGGUAUGAGUAGCGAAAGAAGGGUGAGAAUCCCUUCCACCGAAUAUCUAAGGUUUCCUGAGGAAGGCUCGUCCGCUCAGGGUUAGUCGGGACCUAAGCCGAGGCCGAUAGGCGUAGGCGAUGGACAACAGGUAGAGAUUCCUGUACCAGUGCUAAUUGUUUAACCGAUGGGGUGACACAGAAGGAUAGGGAAUCGCACGAAUGGAAAUGUGCGUCCAAGCAGUGAGUGUGAGAAGUAGGCAAAUCCGCUUCUCGCGAAGCAUGAGCUGUGAUGGGGA